GUAACUGUAUGUGUAGCUUAGUACAUGUGUAUAUGGCAUGUAGUAUGCCAGGCUAUUUAUGUUAUAUUAGUAUUUCUUGACCCCAGUCCCAGGGAGAUCAGCGGUUGUUCUGCAACACUGCUUAUGGGGAUCUAAUAAAACCAUAAACUAUAAGCGCUUUACAACAGUGUUCUCAUUCAUACAGGUGUGCAGAAAUGAUUGGACAAGUUGCCGAUCUCUUGAAAGAGAGCCUAGCUGCUAAGCUGAGAACAGCAAAGCACCUUGCAGUUCUCAUUGAUGGAGACACUGACAUAUCAAACACUGAGUGUGAGAUUGUCUAAGUGCGCCUGGUGGAGGGUGGGAAGCCAGUCACUCUCCUCGUUGGACAACAGACCCUCGAACACUCCCAUGCCAUUGGUAGGUGGUCACUGUCUAGCAGCUAGAUAGUAACCUUUAUUUUUGUAUAGUUUCAUAAAUGCAUAAUUGAGUCACUAUCUUGUUUGUUUUAAGGCUACAAAAGUCUUAUUGUUUUUGUGUUGUCCUUCAAGGUGUUCUGGAUGCAACCAAGGCUGCAUUCAAUGCAGUUUGCCCAGAGGACGAUGGAGGGUCAUGGAUGAAGAAGCUGAUCAGCUUCGGGGCAGAUGGUGCCGCAGUGAAUAUGGGCCACCGCGGAGGAGUGAUUGCUCUCCUGCAAAGAGAGGCAGGGGAGUAUAUUAUCCCUAUCCACUGCAUGCCUCACAGACUAGAGCUGGCAAUCCUAACCCUCCAGAAGAAAGAACCAAUGGUGUGCCAGGUGUACGAUCUUCUGCAUCUCGUGUGGAAGACCUACCACUUCAGCGGAAAGUCCAAGAGAGAGCUCAAUCAAAUAGGGAAAGAGCUUGGCGUGGAUGUCUGCACACCAUCUACCGUCAAAAGGACACGCUGGAUCCCCCAUGUCCACAGGGCUCUCAAAGUGUUCCUGCGACAUGGAGCAGAUAAGGACCUCGCCACAGACCAUGGCCAGUACUCCAUUGUCCUGCAGCACAUGGAGCACCUGGCUGUUGCAGGUACAGUGGAGGUUCAAGGACGGGCAAAGAAGGUCAGUUUUACGCAAUACAUUAAGUAAAAAAAAUAGAUUUAAGUCAAAUGACAUUUCAGACUUGAAUAGUUGGCAGGUGAGGAGGUGGCUAGGAAUACAACACUUAUUUUGUGUUGAUCUACUCACUACUACACAGGUAAAGAGAGGAAUGGAGAAUGCACUUUUUUGUGUAUUCUGCCAUUUUCUCGCUGACAUGUUCGAGGAGCUGUCUACACUUAGCCUCACCCUGCAGAGAAAUGACCUGAUCCUCCCCCAAGCCAUGUCAGAGCUGAGGAAGACUGUGACAAGACCAGACGGACUUAAGUCUAGGGCAAAGUCAGGAGGCAUGCUGGAGAAGAUCCAGACCACGCUUGCUCAGCAUGGAGAUGAUGAGUGCAGAUUCCAGGGAAUACCACUGAAGGGGAAUCUGACAGGUCUCACAGACCUCACCCAUCCCCAGCUGAAGAAGCACAUGGAGGCGGCCAUCAACAUUGGUGUGACUGAGCUAAAAGCCAGGUUUGGUGGGCUCCUGAAUGAUGAGGCUGAAGUCAAGACCCAGGUUCAGGCCUUCAAAGUCUUCAACCAUGACACAUGGCCAGAUGACCUGGGCAGCCUUCUGACCUUUGGUGAUGGUGAUGUGGCAGACCUGGUGAGGCAUUUCAGAGAGCCUCUUGAGAGGUAAGAAUGUAUUUGGCACUGCUGUGCCCUGUGAUGCGAACAAUGAUGUCUGGGUAUUUGCUAACUCCCUCUGUUAAAUCUCUACAGAUCAGGGUGUGACCUGGCGGCUGUUCAGGACGAGUGGCAGGGACUGAAGAUUUUGGUCAGUCAAAGCUUCAAGGACAAGUCCUACAGUGGCCUGUGGGAGACAAUGCUCACCAAGGAGCCAUACAGGGAGGAUUACAAGGUAAGCAAACACUGCUGAGUGUUUGUAUCCUGCAUUGCCCUCCUCCUAUUAUUGGUGGUUAUAGAUGAGAUAAGUAAGGCCUUUCUUGAUCCCAAUAGAACAUACUGGAGUUGGUGCAGCUGAUGUUAGCACUGCCCAUUUCAGCUGCUCAGUGCGAGAGGGGCUUCUCUGCACAAAACCGUAUAAAGAGCUCCAAAAGAAGCAGCCUUGCAGUCUCCACCACCGAAGACCUCAUGAGGAUCACCCUGGAGGGGCCAAGUCUUGAGGACUAUGAUCCAAGUCCUGCUGUGGACCGCUGGAUGAACUCAGCCAAGCGUGCCAGGCGACCUGACUACAAAAAAUUGUGGGACAGAGAUAUUCUCUGCGUUUAAUUGCAGUAGGCCUUAUGAUGGCACUGUGGUAUAUGUUUAAUGUGUGUUACUGAUUUGACUGUUAAUAAUAAAAUUGUGUUAUUUAAAAAAUUUCAUAGUGCUCCUAAAUCUUUUCUGUGCUCCUAAAUUUUUUCAUUUAGGAGCACCUGUGCUCCUAGUGAAAAAGCUAAGCGUACAGCCCUGGUUAGCCAAGCAGCCAAGUAGA
ensembl:lncRNA